rnacentral:misc_RNA from 1 species
GAUGAAGAACGCAGCGAAAUGCGAUAAGUAAUGUGAAUUGCAGAAUUCAGUGAAUCAUCGAAUCUUUGAACGCACAUUGCGCCCGCCAGUAUUCUGGCGGGCAUGCCUGUUCGAGCGUCAUUUCAACCCUCAAGCCCUCGGGUUUGGUGUUGGGGAUCGGCGAGCCUUUCUGGCAAGCCGGCCCCGAAAUCUAGUGGCGGUCUCGCUGCAGCCUCCAUUGCGUAGUAGUAAAACCCUCGCAACUGGAACGCGGCGCGGCCAAGCCGUUAAACCCCCAACUUCUGAAUGUUGACCUCGGAUCAGGUAGGAAUACCCGCUUAACUUAAGCAUAUCAAUAAGCGGAGGA